rnacentral:rRNA from 1 species
UGGGGAAUAUUGGACAAUGGGGGCAACCCUGAUCCAGCGACGCCGCGUGUGUGAAGAAGGCCUGCGGGUUGUAAAGCACUUUUAGUGGGGAAGAAAAGCACAUCACUAACACUGGUGUGUCUUGACCUAACCCAAAGAAAAAGCACCGGCUAACUCUGUGCCAGCAGCCGCGGUAAUACAGAGGGUGCGAGCGUUAAUCGGAAUUACUGGGCGUAAAGCGUGCGUAGACGGCUAUCUAAGUCGGGUGUGAAAGCCCCGGGCUCAACCUGGGAAUUGCAUUCGAGACUGAAGAGCUAGGGUACGGUAGAGGGAAGCGGAAUUUCCGGUGUAGCGGUGAAAUGCGUAGAUAUCGGAAGGAACAUCAGUGGCGAAGGCGGCUUCCUGGACCAGUACCGACGUUCAGGCACGAAAGCGUGGGGAGCAAACAGG